AAUGGGUUGCCAAGCCGCGAGGCGGAGCCAAUCCUAAAAAGCUGGUCUCAGUUCGGAUUGCAGGCUGCAACCCGCCUGCAUGAA
rnacentral:rRNA from 1 species